UACGUAGGUGGCAAGCGUUGUCCGGAAUUAUUGGGCGUAAAGCGCGCGCAGGUGGUUUCUUAAGUCUGAUGUGAAAGCCCACGGCUCAACCGUGGAGGGUCAUUGGAAACUGGGGAACUUGAGUGCAGGAGAGAAGAGUGGAAUUCCACGUGUAGCGGUGAAAUGCGUAGAGAUGUGGAGGAACACCAGUGGCGAAGGCGGCGAUCUGGGAAGAUACUGACGCUGAGGUGCGAAAGCGUGGGGAGCAAACAGG
rnacentral:rRNA from 1 species